rnacentral:rRNA from 1 species
AGUAACACGUGGGUAACCUGCCUGUAAGACUGGGAUAACUCCGGGAAACCGGGGCUAAUACCGGAUGCUUGAUUGAACCGCAUGGUUCAAUUAUAAAAGGUGGCUUUUAGCUACCACUUACAGAUGGACCCGCGGCGCAUUAGCUAGUUGGUGAGGUAACGGCUCACCAAGGCAACGAUGCGUAGCCGACCUGAGAGGGUGAUCGGCCACACUGGGACUGAGACACGGCCCAGACUCCUACGGGAGGCAGCAGUAGGGAAUCUUCCGCAAUGGACGAAAGUCUGACGGAGCAACGCCGCGUGAGUGAUGAAGGUUUUCGGAUCGUAAAACUCUGUUGUUAGGGAAGAACAAGUACCGUUCGAAUAGGGCGGUACCUUGACGGUACCUAACCAGAAAGCCACGGCUAACUACGUGCCAGCAGCCGCGGUAAUACGUAGGUGGCAAGCGUUGUCCGGAAUUAUUGGGCGUAAAGCGCGCGCAGGCGGUUUCUUAAGUCUGAUGUGAAAGCCCCCGGCUCAACCGGGGAGGGUCAUUGGAAACUGGGGAACUUGAGUGCAGAAGAGGAGAGUGGAAUUCCACGUGUAGCGGUGAAAUGCGUAGAGAUGUGGAGGAACACCAGUGGCGAAGGCGACUCUCUGGUCUGUAACUGACGCUGAGGCGCGAAAGCGUGGGGAGCGAACAGGAUUAGAUACCCUGGUAGUCCACGCCGUAAACGAUGAGUGCUAAGUGUUAGAGGGUUUCCGCCCUUUAGUGCUGCAGCAAACGCAUUAAGCACUCCGCCUGGGGAGUACGGUCGCAAGACUGAAACUCAAAGGAAUUGACGGGGGCCCGCACAAGCGGUGGAGCAUGUGGUUUAAUUCGAAGCAACGCGAAGAACCUUACCAGGUCUUGACAUCCUCUGACAACCCUAGAGAUAGGGCUUCCCCUUCGGGGGCAGAGUGACAGGUGGUGCAUGGUUGUCGUCAGCUCGUGUCGUGAGAUGUUGGGUUAAGUCCCGCAACGAGCGCAACCCUUGAUCUUAGUUGCCAGCAUUCAGUUGGGCACUCUAAGGUGACUGCCGGUGACAAACCGGAGGAAGGUGGGGAUGACGUCAAAUCAUCAUGCCCCUUAUGACCUGGGCUACACACGUGCUACAAUGGGCAGAACAAAGGGCAGCGAAGCCGCGAGGCUAAGCCAAUCCCACAAAUCUGUUCUCAGUUCGGAUCGCAGUCUGCAACUCGACUGCGUGAAGCUGGAAUCGCUAGUAAUCGCGGAUCAGCAUGCCGCGGUG